UCCCCCACCCCCCUUCCAGAGCCGCGGGGGCUGCUGGGAAAAGGGGGCGGGAGGGCGGAAGUGACGUCAGGGGGCGGCUUCGAGGGCCCGCCCACCGCGGUGCGUCACUUCCUGGGGGGAGGGGAGGGGGAAAAGGAGGGGAAGGAGGGGCUGGGAGGGACUGGGAGGGACUGGGAGCACUGGGAAGGGAUUGGAGGGGACUAGGAAGGACUGGGAGGGACUGGGAAGGACUGGGAGGGGACUGGGAGAGGACUGGGAGGGGAUUGGAGGGACUGGGAGGGGACUGGGACCAGUAUAGGAGGGGACUGGGAGUAUUGGGAGGGACUGGGAGGGACUGGGAAGGGAUUGGAGGGGACUGGGAAGGACUGGGAGGGGACUGGGAGGGACUGGGAGGGGAUUGGAGGGACUGGGCGGGGACUGGGAGGCACUGGGACCAGUAUAGGAGGGGACUGGGGGGCACUGGGAUGAACUGGGAUGAACUGGGAGGGGACUGGGCGGAGCCAGUGGCCUACUGGGAGGGCACUGGGAGCACUGGGAGGCCCUGAGGCCUCCCCCCUCCGUCUCCUAGCAACGGGAGGCCCCGCCCCUAGCAACGGAGGCCACGCCCCUUAGCAACGAUUGGCCAAGCCCCCGUCUCCUAGCAACGCCUGGCCCCGCCCCCUCGUCUCCUAGCAACGCCCAUCACGUGACCCCCGCCAGCCCCCUCCGUCUCCUAGCAACGCGCGGCCCCUCCCCUCCCCUAGCAACGCCCGGCUACGCCCCUUCGUCUCCUAGCAACGCGCGUCACGUGACCCCCGCCAACCCCUCCGUCUCCUAGCAACGCCCGGCCCCGCCCCCUCGUCUCCUAGCAACGCGCGUCACGUGACUCCCCCCUAUAAAACCCACCCCCCGGCUUCCGGUGACGCCACUUCCGGCGCGGCGCCCGAUGGCGGAGGCAGCUCCCGGCGCCGCUCCCGCUCCCCUCCAGGCCCCGGGCCCGGACGGAGCCGCCGAGGGGGGGCGGGGCCGGAGCCCCCCGGGGGAGGCGGGGCCUGGGCGUGGCCCCGCCCCCUC
rnacentral:lncRNA from 1 species